rnacentral:rRNA from 1 species
GAUGAACGCUGGCGGCGUGCCUAAUACAUGCAAGUCGAGCGGACGGACGAGAAGCUUGCUUCUCUGUUGUUAGUGGCGGACGGGUGAGUAACACGUGGAUAACCUACCUAUAAGACUGGGAUCACUUCGGGACACCGUAGCUAAUACGGGAUAAUAUUUUGAACCGCAUGGUUGAAAAGUGAAUGACGGUCUUGCGGUCACUUAUAGAUGGAUCCGCGCUGCAUUAGCUAGUUGGUAAGGUAACGGCUUACGAAGGCAAGGAUGCAUAGCCGACCGGAGAGAGGGGUAGGCCACCAUGGAGGGUAGGCAGCCUCCAGGCUCCUAAGGGACGGAGCAGUAGGGAAUCUUCCGCAGAGGGCGGGAGCCUGGCAGAACGACGGCGCGUGAGUGAUGGCGAUGUUCGGAUCGGAAAACUCUGUUAUUAGGGAAGAACAGAUGUGUAAGUAACUGUGCACAUCGUGACGGUACCUAGUCAGAAAGCCACGGCUAACUACGUG